rnacentral:rRNA from 1 species
GAUGAACGCUGACAGAAUGCUUAACACAUGCAAGUCAACUUGAACUUCGGUUUGGGUGGCGGACGGGUGAGUAACGCGUAAAGAACUUGCCUCACAGAUAGGGACAACAUUUGGAAACGAAUGCUAAUACCUGAUAUUAUGAUUAUAUGGCAUCGUAUAAUUAUGAAAGCUAUAUGCGCUGUGAGAGAGCUUUGCGUCCCAUUAGCUAGUUGGAGAGGUAACGGCUCACCAAGGCGAUGAUGGGUAGCCGGCCUGAGAGGGUGAUCGGCCACAAGGGGACUGAGACACGGCCCUUACUCCUACGGGAGGCAACAGUGGGGAAUAUUGGACAAUGGACCAAGAGUCUGAUCCAGCAAUUCUGUGUGCAAGAUGAAGUUUUUCGGAAUGUAAAGUGCUUUCAGUUGGGAAGAAAAAAAUGACGGUACCCACAGAAGAAGUGACGGCUAAAUACGUG